AGGAAGCGAGAAGUCGACGCGCCCGCACGCGAGGCGUCCGGCCCUCCGCGAGCGCCCGCGGGGGUUCGGGUUCCGGACCCGGUCCGGGCCCGUCCCCGCCGCGGGGCUGUCGGCCGGAGGUGUCCCCGGACGGCGUCGACGCCCCCCCGCCCCCUCGCGGGGAGGGGGGGUUCUCCGGUCCGCGACGCUACGGCUUGGAUGGUCCACCCGACCCGUCUUGAAACACGGACCAAGGAGUCUAACAUGCGCGCGAGUCGUUGGGUCAUCGAAACCCAUAGGCGCAAUGAAAGUGAAGGCCGCCGGCCGGGCGGCCGAGGGAGGACGGGGCCCGAAGAAAGGUCCCCGCACCCCCGGGGCGUCUGAUCCCUCGUCGCGAGGGGAGGCGCACCCAGAGCGCACACGUUGGGACCCGAAAGAUGGUGAACUAUGCCUGGCCAGGACGAAGUCAGGGGAAACCCUGAUGGAGGUCCGUAGCGAUUCUGACGUGCAAAUCGAUCGUCGGAGCUGGGUAUAGGGGCGAAAGACUAAUCGAACCAUCUAGUAGCUGGUUCCCUCCGAAGUUUCCCUCAGGAUAGCUUGCGCUCGGAGGAGAGUCUCAUCCGGUAAAGCGAAUGAUUAGAGGCCUUGGGGCCGAAACGGCUUCAACCUAUUCUCAAACUUUAAAUGGGUGAGAACUCCGGCUUGCUCGAAGCCGAUGCCGAAGCCGGAGUGCGUGGAUCGGAGUGCAUAGUGGGCCACUUUUGGUAAGCAGAACUGGCGCUGUGGGAUGAACCAAACGACGGGUUAAGGCGCCCGAAUCGACGCUCAUGGGAAACCAUGAAAGGUGUUGGUUGCUUAAGACAGCAGGACGGUGGCCAUGGAAGUCGGAAUCCGCUAAGGAGUGUGUAACAACUCACCUGCCGAAGCAACUAGCCCUGAAAAUGGAUGGCGCUGAAGCGUCGUGCCUAUACCCGGCCGUCGCGGCAGGGCGGGCCGCGGCCGGCUCCCUCACCGGGGUCGGUCGACCGGUGCCGCUUGACGCGGCGACGAGUAGGAGGGUCGCGGCGGCGCGCGCAGAAGGGUCUGGGCUCGAGCCUGCCUGGAGCCGCCGCCGGUGCAGAUCUUGGUGGUAGUAGCAAAUACUCCAGCGAGGCCCUGGAGGACUGAUGUGGAGAAGGGUUUCGUGUGAACAGCCGUUGCACACGAGUCAGUCGAUCCUAAGCCCUAGGAGAAAUCCGACGCGGACGGCGACGGGAAAGAAAGAAAGAAAGAAUCGACCCGUCGAUCGGGCGAAAGGGAAUCCGGUUCCUAUUCCGGAACCCGGCAGCGGAACCGCUGUUUGUCGGGCCCUCAAAAGGGGUUCGUCAGGGUAACCUAAAAGGGCCCGGAGACGCCGUCGGGAGCCCCGGAAAGAGUUUUCUUUUCUGCAUGAGCGUUCGAGUUCCCUG
rnacentral:rRNA from 1 species